AAAAAAAAAAAAAAAGGAAUCCUGGCCCUGUGUUCCUGCUGUGGCACAGCUGUUAAUGAUCCAGCUUGUCUCUGUGGCCACAGCCGUUCAAAUCCCGGCCUGACACAGUGGCCUGACACAGGGGAUUAAGGGACAGGGCGGGGUUCCAGCUGCAGCUGUAGCAUAAGUCACAGAUGAGGCUCAGAUUCACCCCUGGCCAGGGAGCUUCCAUGUGCCAUGGGUGCAGCAAAAAAGAAAAGAAGAAAAAAAUCCUGGGCCCAGGGAGCUGUCUUUUUUUAAGCAGCGGUGUUGCAAUGUGCUCUGCAAACACUAGUGAAUGUCAGAAGCAGUGGGCACCGUGUCACCUGUCUAGGAGUGUGGCAAGUCACCACGCCGGCUUGAAGGGGCUCCUGUGUACCCACCACCCCUCCUCCUGCUACACCCAGCACCUUCCCUCCCCGGGAAGGGGGCCCUCAGGGCAUCUGCACCAAGAAGCAAAGCAAAGUCACACGCCCAGGACACAGACAGGUCCCUGAUGGGAAGGGAUGCUGGGACUUCCCGCAGCACGGGGGUGGGGGAGGGGAAGGCUGGGACAUUCGGGGAGGGGGCUCCAGGACAUCUGUUCCUGCCCCCCCAGCACCUCGCUGGCUUUUGAAUUUCCCUUUAUGACUAAGACACCAAAUGGAGUACUCGGGGCAAAACGGGGGGAAAAACCCCAUGUCACUCCCUCUGAGUCAGCCCCUCAACCGCACCAUCGGAGGCUCUGGCCAGGACCUACGGGACAUGAAUUUGCAUUUUGGCAACACCGCCAGGGAGUCCCAUGCACUCGGAGUUUGCGAGCGCCCGGCUCUCCCAGCUGAGUCAUCAGUUCUUGGAGCAGCCGGCUCCCGACUUUUCUGAUCAGAAACCGCUACCUCCCAGGAAGACGUGUCUUCGGCUGUAAAUUCUGUGCGCUGUGCAGCCGCAGUGGGGUAUCAUGACCUCACAUGGAAAUGAGCGAUGAAAAAGGAUGGGUCAACGCUCCAUAGAAAGAGGCGUCAUCUUUGGGGGCUGAGGAAGGACACGGGUGCACCUGCCUUUCCCAAGCGCAGGAUUAAGGGAGGGCAACUCUCAGGGCAGAGCCUGGGGGUCUCGCUUAAUUUUCCCACGGGGACUUUUUGUGGCUCAAAGCCUCUAGUUCGUUUAUUUUUUAUUUUCAAAUUUUAUUUAUUUUUGUCUUUUUGUCUUUUCUAGGGCCGAACCCACGGCAUAUAGAGGUUCCCAGGCUAGGGGUCUAACGCCACAGCCACAGCAACAUGGGAUCCGAGCUGCAUCUGCG
rnacentral:lncRNA from 1 species